rnacentral:rRNA from 1 species
GUGAGGAAUAUUGGACAAUGGGCGCAAGCCUGAUCCAGCCAUGCCGCGUGCAGGAAGACGCAUCUAUGGUGUGUAAACUGCUUUUGUACGGGAAGAAACACUCCCUCGUGAGGGAGCUUGACGGUACCGUAAGAAUAAGGAUCGGCUAACUCCGUGCCAGCAGCCGCGGUAAUACGGAGGAUCCAAGCGUUAUCCGGAAUCAUUGGGUUUAAAGGGUCCGUAGGAGGUGUAAUAAAUCAGUGGUGAAAGCCCAUCGCUCAACGAUGGAACGGCCAUUGAUACUGUUAGACUUGAAUUACAAGGAAGUAACUAGAAUAUGUAGUGUAGCGGUGAAAUGCUUAGAUAUUACAUGGAAUACCAAUUGCGAAGGCAGGUUACUACUUGUGGAUUGACGCUGAUGGACGAAAGCGUGGGGAGCGAACAGGAUUAGAUACCCCGGUAGUCC